ACGGGAGGCAGCAGUGGGGAAUAUUGGGCAAUGGGCGAAAGCCUGACCCAGCAACGUCGCGUGAAUGAUGAAGGUCUUCGGAUUGUAAAGUUCUGUGAUGGGGGACGAAGAAAGUGACGGUACCCCAAUAGCAAGCUACGGCUAACUACGUGCCAGCAGCCGCGGUAAUACGUAGGUAGCAAGCGUUGUCCGGAAUGACUGGGCGUAAAGGGUGCGUAGGUGGUUUAACAAGUUGGUAGUGAAAUUCCGAGGCUUAACUUCGGCGCUACUACCAAGACUGUUGAACUUGAGUACAGGAGAGGUAAGUGGAAUUCCUAGUGUAGCGGUGGAAUGCGUAGAUAUUUGGAAGAACACCGGUGGCGAAGGCGACUUACUGGACUGUAACUGACACUGAAGUACGAAAGCGUGGGGAGCAAACAGGAUUAGAUACCCUGGUA
rnacentral:rRNA from 1 species